GACACCCGUCAGUUUUCAACAUAUUGACCUGAAAUUUCAAUCAAACGAACAAAAACAGCACAAAUACAGCCAAGGAGAACUGUGACAGACAAACAAGAGCUCUUAUAGGCACUAAAGGGGUUAAUGAAUCACUAAAAUUCUUCAGAAUAACGCGUUGGUCACAUCUGUAGACCAGUUAUAAAAUAAAGAAACCAUUUUGUCCACGUCUGAGGGAUCUGAACUUAACGAGAUUCCAACAUUUGGGGUCAUUUGCAUUUUUGCUUAAUUUAAUAGUGCUGCACCUUGAGACAGCCUCAGCCUUGAUGAAUAAACUGAACUGAAGCCAUGAAAAGCCAAUAGAACCAUAAGGAAUAUUGGACCACUAGAACCAUUAAAACCAUUGGACCACUAGAAACAUUAGAACCAUUGGAACCAUUAAAACCAUUGGACCACUAGAACCAUUAAAACCAUUGGACCACUAGAACCAUUAAAACCAUUGGACCACUAGAAACAUUAGAACCAUUGGAACCAUUAAAACCAUUGGACCACUAGAACCAUUAAAACCAUUGGACCACUAGAAACAUUAGAACCAUUGGAACCAUUAAAACCAUUGGACCACUAGAAACAUUAAAACCAUUGGAACCAUUGGAAUGAUCCAUUAGUUGGAAUGCAAAUGUCUGCGUAUUGUAGUUAGUUCUAAAUCUGGGCUCUUCUGGAAUCCAUCAGCAGUCUGUAACCAUGGUUACAGCAACAGUAGAGUGUACAUGUGCAGUUGUUUGUGAAGCUUUGGCGGACUUUUAAUAAGAUCUACUUCACUUCCAGGUAUGCAGAGUUGUUACAUCACCUCCACGCCAUCACCAGUCGGGCCUGCCUUUGAACCAAUAGCUAAAUAGCCACUCUUCUACUCAGUCAAUCACAAAUCAUAUUAUUAAUAUCUUGGCUUGUAUUCCUGCAUUGUAAAUGGUUUGCUGGUUUUCCUACACAUCGUUCUCCAGCUGGAGAAUGGGUUGGUCUGGUCCUUAACUGCAGGGUCUAGGCUCUGGGGUCAUCCUCCCAGGCACACAAGACCCCUUGGUCCAAGGCCUACCCAGCAAAGAUUAUGGAUCCAUUUCCUUCUCAUUUUCUGUACAGAAAUCUUGCUCCUAAUGGCUCUUCUUACUGAAAAGAUCUCAAUGUUAUUAACCUACCCUGCAGAUCUACUGUUUGGUUAAGUAGGAAUUGAAAAGUCAUGGCUAUGGUUGAGUUUAAAAUAACUUGAUAAAACUGAAUAUCUUUACUUAGAAAAAAAAAUGUUGACUCAUCAAAUCAGAUCUAUUCCAGUCCAGAUACAAAACAUGAGUCAGCACAGUCAGAUGGGUUGUUCACAGUGGUCUUAGUAAUCCUGGUUUAGUGAUCUGGUUACACAUACUGACAGAGUUACAGCCUGAGGAAGUGCGUCUGUUAGUUCUGGCUCACAGUCAAAGUUUAACAGUUUGCUGGCGCCUCUGUGACUUAGCGCCACUCUUUGGCGUUUGUUUCUUCGGUCUACAGAUAAAGAUCCAGAAGGGUGGCUGGACUUUGUUCACGAAUCAAAGCAGAAGAGUCUGAACCUAAGCUUGGAGAGGAAAGUACAAAGUGAGAAACCAGGAAGGAUGAGAUACAGCAUGCUGUGGUCUCAACCGCCUGUUCUGGGAGACUCAUCUGCUUUUUUCUGCCUCCUGUUUCAAAAUAAAACAUUACAGAAGCCGAUUAGAAAUGAACCAUGCAGCGGAGAGAGAAGAGCUGAGUUCUCCCUCCCAGUGAUGCUAGUUAGUCAUGUCAGCAGGUUUAUUUUAGGCUUUAUGUCGUCCUCAGGUCACGUGUGCAAGUAAAGCAAAGAAUAAACACGAACUUUGCGCUCCCAGGGCCGUGUGAGCACAUGAAACAGCAGGCUAAUGUACGCUGUAAAACAAUAAACACCACGGAGUGAGGAUCAUCAUGGAGAAAGAAUCCACUGUGAAAGGCAGCGAAGGUCAAAGCAGGUCCAGUCCGUCAACGUCGAGGCAUGAGCCAGGGCCCCCCAAGGGAGACCAGCCCCACGCUCCAGACAGCCACCUUCCCACCCAGCCCACGCAUCAUUCAUUAUUUAUCCAUCUGGGAGGAUCCUCCUCAGUGUCUGACUGAAAGGUCAGAUGUGGGGGGGGGGACAUCUGCAGAGGCAGCAACGCCGAAACUAACUGCAGAUUUCCUCAGAGCACCGACAGCGAUGCUGCUGGAUGCCGUCGCCGUGGCAACCGAUGCCAAGCAGCCAGCCAGAGGAACUCUGGAUCCAGGCGGGGAGUCGGGUCAGGGCUGAGGCGGGGGGG